CCUGAGAAACCCGAGAGAUCGAAUGGGGAGAUUCACCGUCAGCGGGGAGUCGACUUCGGGCGGGUUUGCGAUGAACCGCGGGGCCUAGGCACCGCGUGGCACGCUACCCGUUUGCAAUGCUCGGCCACGUCGGCGUGCACUUCUCCGCCAGUAGGACGUCGCGACCCGUCCAUCGCCGGUCUACGGCGCGGGCGCGUAGUCCCGGGCGGCGCGCGCGUCCCGGCCCGCCCGGCCGGCCGUUGGACGGUAGACCCACGGUAUCGGGCCGCAAUCGCCUCGAUUGCGUCCAGGCCCGUCNCAAGCGAACUAAGGUCAGUGACCCGGCGGNAACGGACUCUGCGCCGUCCCCGGGCCUGGNCCGUUGUUGGCAGACGGUGCCCUCAGACAGGCCAAGGCUCACGCCAGUACCGGUCGGCAGCGCUAUUGCUUUGGGUACUUUCAGG
rnacentral:rRNA from 1 species